CCUUAAGGGUAAUUUUGGUCAAAAGCUUCUCUCCAGAAGCUUCGUUUGCUCUUAUUCAGAGAAACUUCAUCUGCUCAUCACAAUUUGGUCUUCCAAUUUAUAUUUACGGUUCUGAAUUUUCUCCAAAAAUCCAAGGUCUUAUCUUUGUUUUUAAACAAUCAAUUUUUUUUCUUCUUUAACAUUUUUAAUUUGCAUGCGUGUCAAAAUCUUUUCUUUAUCCUUAGGUUUAAAUCAGAGCCUGAUUUUUUUCUUUAGCCAUCUGAGUCAGCUUCUCUCCUCUUUUCCUUAUCAUCUUCUGCCACUCCUUACUCAUCAUCUUCUCAAUUCAUCUACCAAACGACAAUGAACCCAUCAUAUUUUGCUUUGCCAUUUCAUAUCUAGCAAAAGGCCCAACCUUAUGCCCCCUUGGCCCAGCCUGUUUCGGUCACCCCUGCUCCUGUCUACCCCAUGCUAAUCGCCCCCUUCCUCGCCGUCUAUUCUCUCCCUCAAUAUCAACAAGUCAUUAGACAAUAAAUUAGAAACAGAAUUUUUUUUGUAAAUUUUUAAAAAAAUAGAAAAAAAUAAAUUAAACCCCAUUGUGUUGAUCGAUUGGGCGAGGAGAGAAGAAAAGAAACGACAUGUCGUGGUUAAGAAUGGCAGUGAACAAAAUGAUGGAGGUUGGGAACAAGAAUAACCUCACUCGAAAUAUCAAGAACUAUGCCAAUGCCGUUGUUCAUCAUGCUGGCUAUCACCAAAGGAGCCAAACUUUUUCAAGAUCGCAUUAUAACCUUCAAUGGUUGUUCCAAUAAGAAGGCUUGAUCAAGAAAAUGUUAGUGUAUCGACAAAGCAUCAUGUUGAUGACAGUAUGUUAGGUUGUCAGAGGAGAGAAAAUCAGAAAAGAAUUUGCUGUCUUACUGUAGAGACAUAGAGCUGCUGUUGUUAUACAAAAGCAUAUUAAAGACAGGAAUGCUAGGAAAACAUUCAAGAACAUUAAUGAUGCUUCACUUGUGAUACAAUCAGUUAAGUAUUUAUUUAUUUAUUUAUUUAUUUUUCGUUGAGUUUUAAUAGUAAACAUGCAAAGCAAUAUAAUGACUCUUAGUGUUUUCUUGAAACUUAAGUUCAAAAUAAUUGAAAAUGGCUCGGGUUUCUGGGUGCCAUGGUCAAGUCAAUUUGAGGAUAAAGAUGUUCUGUAUUUCAACAAUUGCGUUCUUUAUGUUAAAAAUAUUCAUAUACAUCAAAGUGCAUUUCUAAUAUAACUCUUGAAAUUUUAAAAAUGAUGGUUGGAAAACAUUUAAGUAUGUAUGAAAUUGAAUACCCUCCAUAAGUGAAUGUGAUAAAUUUGGUUUUGAUUGCCAAAAUUUAG